rnacentral:rRNA from 1 species
ACGGGGUGCAGCAGGCGCGAACACUUUACAAUGCGGGAAACCGCGAUAAGGGAACCCCGAGUGCCAGCACCAAGUGUUGGCUGUCCAGAUGAUUAAUUCUCAUCUGAUAGCAAGGGCCGGGCAAGACCGGUGCCAGCCGCCGCGGUAACACCGGCGGCCCGAGUGGUAACCGUUUUUAUUGGGUCUAAAGGGUCCGUAGCCGGUCUGAUAAGUCCUUUGGGAAAUCUGGCAGCUUAACUGUCAGGCUUCCAAGGGAUACUGUCAGGCUUGGGACCGGGAGAGGUAAGGGGUACUCCAGGGGUAGGAGUGAAAUCUUGUAAUCCCUGGGGGACCAUCUGUGGCGAAGGCGCCUUACCAGAACGGGUCCGACGGUGAGGGACGAAAGCUAGGGGAGCAAACCGGAUUAGAUACCCGGGUAGUCCUAGCUGUAAACGAUGCUCGCUAGGUGUCAGGCACGGUGCGUCCGUGUUUGGUGCCGCAGGGAAGCCGUGAAGCGAGCCACCUGGGAAGUACGGUCGCAAGGCUGAAACUUAAAGGAAUUGGCGGGGGAGCAC